AAGGCCAUGAGGGAACGGCCUCGUUCUCAGCUGGUGCUUGCCGUUCUUGCAACAAUCGCUGUAAUUUUUGGGGUAGCAAAAGGAGUCGAAUGAUGACCAAGUUUGAGACUGAACCAGCUGCUGAAUGGAUAAACUCAUGUGCCCUAGUUUGUGCAUCUCUCUCUCUCUCUCUCUCUCUCUCUCUCUCUCUCAUUUCUACGUCUGGGAUUGGUGUUCUUGGCGAAAGCACAUUUGUUGUAUCCUAUUAAAUAGCCAAAUCUGCACGAGUUGAAGAGUGAAUAUGAUUUUCUUCAUAGCAUGAGGGGUUGAAUUUGCGCGUCGUCUACAUUGGUGUUUGUUUGAGAUAUUACUGGGUAUCUUUAUGAGGGUUUGCAGACUCUUCUCACCGUAAUAAUGAAGGAAACCAAAAUCUAUCUCCAUCUGAGAUUGCAUUCCCAAUUGCAAUGGCGAUUUGUUGGAAGCCAUUGACAGAUAUUU